rnacentral:rRNA from 1 species
UACGUAGGGGGCAAGCGUUGUCCGGAUUUACUGGGUGUAAAGGGCGCGCAGGUGGGCUUGAUAGUUAGAGGUGAAAUCCUGUGGCUUAACUGCAGAACUGCCUUUAAUACUUCAAGUCUUGAGUGCGGAAGAGAGAGACGGAAUUCCAGGUGUAGUGGUGAAAUACGUAGAUAUCUGGAAGAACACCAGUUGCGAAGGCGGUCUCUUGGUCCGUAACUGACACUCAGGAGCGAAAGCGUGGGGAGCAAACAGG